rnacentral:hammerhead_ribozyme from 1 species
GUACUGCUGAAGAGUCCCAAACUAGGACGAAACAGGGUCCAGUAC